GCCGUGAUAGCUCAGCUGGGAGAGCGAUAGACUGAAGAUCGUCCUGAAUUGCGUUAAUUCAGGUUUGAACCUUCUGCCAUCUACAGGUCGUUGGUUCAAAUCCGACUCAUGGCA